rnacentral:rRNA from 1 species
UAGAGUUUGAUCCUGGCUCAGAAUGAACGCUGGCGGCGUGCCUAACACAUGCAAGUCGAACGCGAAAACCCGCAAGGGCCAGUAGAGUGGCGCACGGGUGAGUAAUACAUAAGAAUCUGCCCUUUUGUGAAGAAUACCCUUGAGAAAUCAAGGUUAAUACUGCAUAAGUCGGGAAACCGAGAAAGGUGGCCUCUAGCUACCGCAGAAGGAAGAGCUUGUGUCCUAUCAGCUAGUUGGUGGGGUAAAGGCCUACCAAGGCGAAGACGGGUAGUCGGCCUGAGAGGGUGUACGACCACAAUGGGACUGAGACACGGCCCAUACUCCUACGGGAGGCAGCAGUGGGGAAUAUUGCACAAUGGGCGCAAGCCUGAUGCAGCGACGCCGCGUGGAGGAAGAAGGUCUUCGGAUUGUAAACUCCUGUUGAGUGGGAACAAAGACGGCUGGUUAAUACCCAGUUGGGAUGACGGUACCACUCGAGGAAGCACCGGCAAACUUCGUGCCAGCAGCCGCGGUAAUACGAAGGGUGCGAGCGUUAUUCGGAGUUAUUGGGCGUAAAGGGCGCGUAGGCGGUCCACUAAGUCAGCUGUUAAAGACCUCGGCUUAACCGAGGAAAAGCAGGUGGUACUGGAGGGCUAGAGGACAGGAGAGAGAAGUGGAAUUCUCGGAGUAGCGGUAAAAUGCGUAGAUCUCGAGAGGAACACCGAUGGCGAAGGCAGCUUCUUGGUCUGUAACUGACGCUGAGGCGCGAAAGCGUGGGGAGCAAACAGGAUUAGAUACCCUGGUAGUCCACGCUGUAAACGAUGAUCACUGGAUGUGGGUUCUGCAAUAUGCGGGAUCUGUGUCGAAGCUAACGCGUUAAGUGAUCCGCCUGGGAAGUACGGUCGCAAGAUUAAAACUCAAAGGAAUUGACGGGGGUCCGCACAAGCGGUGGAACAUGUGGUUUAAUUCGACACUACGCGAGGAACCUUACCUGGGUUUGACAUGCUUCAGAAAGCGGUAGAAAUAUCGUGUUUGGUAGCAAUACCAACUGUUGCACAGGUGCUGCAUGGCUGUCGUCAGCUCGUGUCGUGAGAUGUUGGGUUAAGUCCUUUAACGAGCGCAACCCUUGCCGCUUAUUGCAACGUCGAAAGAUGGCACUUAAGCGGGACUGCCUUGGAAACAAGGAGGAAGGUGGGGAUGACGUCAAGUCCUCAUGGCCCUUAUACCCAGGGCUACACACGUGUUACAAUGGCGAACUACAAAGGGGAGCAAAACCGCGAGGUGGAGCAAAUCCCAUAAAAUUCGUCUCAGUUCAGAUUGAAGUCUGCAACCCGACUUCAUGAAGUUGAAAUCGCUAGUAAUCGCGCAUCAGAACGGCGCGGUGAAUACGUUCACGGACCUUGUACACACCGCCCGUCACACCAUGAAAGUUGCUCGCACCCAAAGUUGUUUUACCCAACCUGCAAAGGAGGGGAACAGUUAAGGUGAGGGGAGCGAUUGGGGUGAAGUCGUAACAAGGUAACCGUA